rnacentral:tRNA from 1 species
UUAAUUGAAGCCAAAAAGAGGCCUAUCACUGUUAAUGAUAUCAAUAGAUUUCAAUCUCAAUUAAA